UACAGACUGUGGCCUUGGAGUGGAAGUUGAUGAUUUUAAAUACAACUGAACUGAACAUUCAAAUAUGCAUUUAUUUUUCAUAGAUAAUUUUUCAUCUUUUUUUAGGCUUUCUGGAUCCUGAAAAGAAGCUUUUCUCACAUCGGAUUCUUUCUCGAGAUGAAUGCAUCGAUCCGUUCUCAAAGACGGGAAAUCUUAGGAACCUCUUCCCUUGCGGGGAUUCAAUGGUCUGCAUCAUCGACGACCGAGAGGACGUGUGUGGAAGUUUGCACCAAACCUCAUCACUGUGAAGAAAUACAUCUACUUCCAAGGCACCGGGGACAUCAACGCUCCCCCCGGGUCGCGGGAAGCUCAGGUGUCCAGGAAAGGUAAAGUUCUCGUGCAUCUUUUGAAAACUCGACGCAGUUGUAGGAAAACUCCUCAACAACAAAGUCGCCGGCGGUUUAUGCAACGCAGAGGGUCAGAUGUACAGCAAGGGAGGGGGGGGUACUGUCCAAGGAUUUGUUUCCAGUAGCAUGCACAUUCCCCUGCGAGAGGCACGAUCAGCUGAAAUGAACAAGCAAGUCAGUCCAGUGGAGGCACUGAACUUGAGCUGCUCUUAAAAGUUCAUAGAGUUAAAAACCUGAAUGUGUCGUAAUCCACUAUGUAGUUUGAAAUGGAGUUUUUUUUGUACUGCACCUCACUGACGAACGCAGUGGGGAAAUUCUGGACCAAAAAACUAAAAUCCAGUCAUGAGUGAACUGACCGAUUCUUGUGGUGACAAGUAACCUCCACUGAUAUAUACUGUAUGCAUGACACCAGAUCUAAGAUUUCGUCCGCACAUUUACUUGUGUAGAAUACAGUAUAUAUCAUAUGUAAAUAAUACUAUAAAAUAACCUGACAUUUUUUUGGCGCAGGACUUUGUUGCACCAGUGUGACUAUCUUUCUCAAGACAGCAACCGUGGGCAAAUAGCUCGGCAAUGAGGUUGCUUGUGUUUCUUGUGCUAAUACACAAUAGAUUGAUCGUUUUCUCAGUGAGAUCACCACAAAUGUAAUUUUCAGACGUGUGUCUAAUAUUUGCGUGAAUCUGAACAUCCCAAUAGUUAAACAACGGGUCGAUAAGGAAAAGCGGCGAGUGUAUGUUAGCUUCGUUGAAUCUGCAGUCUGUGACGUGAAGUGGAAAGGAGAGAAGUGUGAACAAAGGCAAACCUCAUUAAUUUAUAUGAUUUCAUUUGUGAUUCUUGCAAAUGUUAUUGUGUCAGUAAUGGAACAACAUGAUUUUUAAACCCCCAUGGCCCACUGCACGUGCAUUUGUUUGACUGCGGCAACUAAAUAAAGUUUAGGUUGGGUGUUUUUUUUUGUUAAGUUUGAAAAAGGUCUCAAAAAGCAUUAGAUUUGAUUUCAGUAAGAUUUCCCUCCAUUUCCUGUCUUACUGACCUGCAUAAAGAACUUCAAAACAAUCCUAACAUUCAUAUAUAUUUAUAUUAACAGGCUGUUGUAGGCAAACUGUUAUUCUAGUAGGUUCCUCUGUCAUAUAAUUCAUUACAGAGAGUCACUCAGGCCAGCUCGUCAUCAGAAAUGCGUCCGUGUCCGGCCAGUACCGUGAAUUCACCUGAUGAGCACACGCACCUUUGUGUACGAAAAUGCGGCGUCGUGAAUCAAAGGCACGUGUGAAAGGACAGAGAUGGAAAGUCUUACAGGGUUCCAAAACUUUCACCUCUGUACUGCCGCUUGGAGCUAACCUGUGUCUCCUUUGGGGCUGUUUUAGGAACCCCCCCUCAUUGUCAUUUACACCCACUCUCUCAGGCUGUCACGUUAAUUAGCUGAUAACUCCUGGUCGUACCAGUCCCAUGUUACAACCGCUGCCAGGCUCAGUAAUGGGCCUAAUAUUGUUUGAUAAAUUCAAAGGGCAAAACACAAGCUUCGACCGUGGCUGAAGUAUGUGGGGAGCCUAAUGGGUAUGAAUCAUAAACCCAGAGACAACUCCUAAGUGAUUUUAAUGCUGCCCAUCAGAUUUGAGCACAAAGCAAAUUUAUUCCUCUAUGAAUACAAACUCUUUACAAGGCCUUUCUCUCCCCCAGGCAAGUGUUUUGGAAGUCAAAUGGUUGAAGUGGACAUUCAUCCACAUGUCUUCUAUGAAUCUCAGAAGAAUAUCAUACACACAUUUACAUAAAGGACUCUAUUAAGUCAACAAAGCUCACGGUGGC
ensembl:lncRNA